UACGUAGGGUGCGAGCGUUAAUCGGAAUUACUGGGCGUAAAGCGUGCGCAGGCGGUUAUGUAAGACAGGUGUGAAAUCCCAGGGCUUAACCUUGGAACUGCAUUUGUGACUGCAUAGCUAGAGUACGGUAGAGGGGGAUGGAAUUCCGCGUGUAGCAGUGAAAUGCGUAGAUAUGCGGAGGAACACCGAUGGCGAAGGGCAAUCCCCUGGACCUGUACUGACGCUCAUGCACGAAAGGCGUGGGGAGCAAACAGG
rnacentral:rRNA from 1 species